UCGUCAGCUCGUGUCGUGAGAUGUUGGGUUAAGUCCCGCAACGAGCGCAACCCUUGUUAUUAGUUGCCAGCAUUAAGUUGGGCACUCUAAUGAGACUGCCGGUGACAAACCGGAGGAAGGUGGGGAUGACGUCUAGUCAUCAUGCCCCUUAUGACCUGGGCUACACACGUGCUACAAUGGGCAGUACAACGAGAAGCAAGCCUGCGAAGGCAAGCGAAUCUCUGAAAGCUGUUCUCAGUUCGGACUGCAGUCUGCAACUCGACUGCACGAAGCUGGAAUCGCUAGUAAUCGCGGAUCAGCACGCCGCGGUGAAUACGUUCCCGGGCCUUGUACACACCGCCCGUCACACCAUGGGAGUCUGCAAUGCCCAAAGCCGGUGGCCUAACCUUCGGGAAGGAGCCGUCUAAGGCAGGGCAGAUGACUGGGGUAAAGUCGUAACAAGGUAGCCGUA
rnacentral:rRNA from 1 species